rnacentral:tRNA from 1 species
UGUGUGAGAUGGCUGAAUUAUAAGCGGUAAAUUGUAAAUUUAUUCAUGGGGUUUCCUCUCGUAAA